rnacentral:rRNA from 1 species
UACGUAGGGUGCAAGCGUUGUCCGGAAUUAUUGGGCGUAAAGAGCUCGUAGGCGGUUUGUUGCGUCGGCUGUGAAAUCCCGAGGCUCAACCUCGGGUCUGCAGUCGAUACGAGCAAACUAGAGUGUUGCAGGGGAGACUGGAAUUCCUGGUGUAGCGGUGAAAUGCGCAGAUAUCUGGAGGAACACCGGUGGCGAAGGCGGCAUCCUGGACCGACGCUGACGCUGAGGAGCGAAAGCCAGGGGAGCAAACGGG